rnacentral:rRNA from 1 species
CCUACGGGAGGCAGCAGUAGGGAAUAUUGCUCAAUGGGGGACCCCCUGAAGCAGCAACGCCGCGUGGAGGAUGAAGGUUUUCGGAUUGUAAACUCCUUUUGUUAGAGAAGAUACUGACGGUAUCUAACGAAUAAGCACCGGCUAACUCCGUGCCAGCAGCCGCGUUAAUACGGAGGGUGCAAGCGUUACUCGGAAUCACUGGGCGUAAAGGGCGCGUAGGCGGGGUAGCAAGUCAGAUGUGAAAUCCUAUGGCUUAACCAUAGAACUGCAUUUGAAACUGUUAUUCUAGCGUAUGGGAGAGGUAGGUGGAAUUCUUGGUGUAGGGGGAAAAUCCGUAGAGAUCAAGAGGAAUACUCAUUGCGAAGGCGACCUGCUAGAACAUAACUGACGCUGAUGCGCGAAAGCGUGGGGAGCAAACAGGAUGAGAUACCCCUGGUAGUC